AGGACGAACGCUGGCGGCGUGCUUAACACAUGCAAGUCGAGGGAGUGGCGGGGCAACUCGCCACGACCGGCGAACGGGUGCGUAACACGUGAGCGACCUACCCUGGUGUGGGGAUAGCCGGCCCAACGGCCGGGUAAUACCGCAUGCGCUUUGGCUUCUUCCUGGAAGCUCAAGCAAAGUCUUCGGACGCACUGGGAGGGGCUCGCGGCCUAUCAGCUCGUUGGCGGGGUAAUGGCCCACCAAGGCGACGACGGGUAGCCUGGU
rnacentral:rRNA from 1 species